rnacentral:rRNA from 1 species
CGAGCGCAACCCCUUGUCCUUAGUUACCAGCACGUUAUGGUGGGCACUCUAAGGAGACUGCCGGUGACAAACCGGAGGAAGGUGGGGAUGACGUCAAGUCAUCAUGGCCCUUACGGCCUGGGCUACACACGUGCUACAAUGGUCGGUACAGAGGGUUGCCAAGCCGCGAGGUGGAGCUAAUCCCACANAACCGAUCGUAGUCCGGAUCGCAGUCUGCAACUCGACUGCGUGAAGUCGGAAUCGCUAGUAAUCGCGAAUCAGAAUGUC